rnacentral:rRNA from 1 species
UACGUAGGACGAGCGUUGUCCGGAAUCAUUGGCGUAAAGAGCGUGAUAGGCGGCCACUUAAGGUCCUGCGUUGAAAUCUUGCGGCUCAACCGCAAGCGGUCGUGGGAAACUGGGUGGCUAGAGUGCGGGAGAGGAGAGUGGAAUUCCUGGUGUAGCGGUGGAAUGCGCAGAUAUCAGGAGGAACACCAUAGCGAAGGCAGCUGCGCUGGGACGGUAUUGACGCUAAGGCGCGAAAGCGUGGGGAGCAA